GUCCUUACCUGGCAGGGGAGCUACCAUGAUGGUGGUUUUCCGAGGGUGAGGCUUAUCCAUUGAACUCCGGAUGUCCUGAACCCUUUGAUUUCCACAAAUGUGGGAAACUGAACUGUAUAAUUUGUGGUAGUAGGGGACUGUGUUUGUGCUCUCCCCUG